rnacentral:lncRNA from 1 species
GGAACUUUCAGUCCCACGCCCCUGACUUCCAAGGAGGGGAGAGGGGCUGGAGGUUGAAUCAAUUACCAAGGGCCAAAGAUUUAAUCAAUCAUGCUUACAUAAUGAAGCCCCAUAGAAACCCUAAAGGACAGGCUUCAGAGAGUUUCCAGGACAUGAUGCUGGCAUUCGAUGACAUCAAACUAAUAGGACUUGGAGGCAGGACAUAGCAGGUGCUGUAGACACCUUGGAUAAGAUACAUAUGUGCCCAAAGUGAGAGAUGUAGCCCAUGGAAGUAUAAAGGGCUGCCACCUCAUUAAAGUAUAAAUCUCUUAUAAAGUCCAAGGAUUUGGAUGUCAUCUUCAAAGGAAGAGGUCUCACGGACUCCUCUGGUUCUGAUCAAGAAACUCACUUUACAAUUUAAGAAGAAAAUGGGCUGAUGUUUAUGGUGUUUAUGGUUCAGGUGUUUCUCCAUGUAUCCUGGCAGAAGCAGGCAGCCUUAAGCAGUCCAUAGGUUACAGGAUAUAAAGACGGAAGCCAGCUGGAACUAGAGAAAGAACAUCACCGAGAGAGAUCCUGCAUGUGAAGCUGGAUGCGCUGAUGAGACCUUGCGGUGUCUCCUUUUUGGACUGAGGAGUUCCCACCUGCCAGACGAAUUUAGCUCCCGUUGGCCUGGUUGGGGCCCCAGUUCUCUUUUUGCUCCAUAUCAAGAGGCUCACAGAAAACUUAGCAAUGCUGCAGGCAUAGAGAGAACCACCACAUCUUUGUCACUUGCAGCCUAGGACCACUGGGACCUAAAAGGAAAAGCAAGGGAAGUGGCUGGGUGAGGGGAGUGAGGUUAAAGACAACCAAUCUCAUUUGCAGAGUUUACAAAUAUGGUUCCCACUUGUUUUCUCACUGAACGAAAUCUUCAC